rnacentral:rRNA from 1 species
UCGUCAGCUCGUGUUGUGAAAUGUUGGGUUAAGUCCCGCAACGAGCGCAACCCUUAUCCUUUGUUGCCAGCGGUCCGGCCGGGAACUCAAAGGAGACUGCCAGUGAUAAACUGGAGGAAGGUGGGGAUGACGUCAAGUCAUCAUGGCCCUUACGACCAGGGCUACACACGUGCUACAAUGGCGCAUACAAAGAGAAGCGACCUCGCGAGAGCAAGCGGACCUCAUAAAGUGCGUCGUAGUCCGGAUUGGAGUCUGCAACUCGACUCCAUGAAGUCGGAAUCGCUAGUAAUCGUGGAUCAGAAUGCCACGGUGAAUACGUUCCCGGGCCUUGUACACACCGCCCGUCACACCAUGGGAGUGGGUUGCAAAAGAAGUAGGUAGCUUAACCUUCGGGAGGGCGCUUACCACUUUGUGAUUCAUGACUGGGGUGAAGUCGUAACAAGGUAACCGUAGGGGAACCUGCGGCUGGAUCACCUC